UCAAGCAGAUUACAAACAUAAACUAUUAAAAAAAUAUUAUCACAAGGAUUUCGAAAAUUUUCCAAUCCCUAGCUAGAAUGAAAUACCAUUUAAUUAAUGAAGUAUAGUCCCAGGAAAUAAUGUACAAAAUUUUAAGUGGGAAUAUUUUGACUAAUUCCCCAAAACAAUGCAAAUAAUUCAUAAGUAUAAAAAAGUAGUCACCUAUUAUAGUUUAUAGGUUUUGAUAAUCUAAUAUCAAAUAUAUAUUUAAAAAACGUCAAUAUGAAUAUUAAAAUUAAAAUCUAUUAAGUCUUAUGGGGUUUCUUGAUGGAAAAUACAUCAUUUUGACCUCAAGCGUUUAUAAACGAAAUACUCUGACAAAUACUUUUGGGAUUCAGAAUGACUGAGACGUACAUCUCCUAACAAAACAACUGGAGUGGAAGCUAGAUCUGCAAGGAUCUUCAACAUGAAUUUGGAGUCUUUUUCUUUCAUUCCAUCAAUAAUAUCAGUUUCUCCAACGGAAGAAAGCUUCCGAUCAUAGGAGCCGUAUUGAAUUUUCUUCCCUCUAUUCACUUGAAAAUUGAAAUGGCGCUUACGUCCACAAUAUACUUCUUCCUUAUUAUUGGCCAUGGAUUCCGUUUUAAAUGGUUUAAUCGUAAUAAUAGUGAGAUGGGAAGUCUGCAAGAAGAGGUUGCGUGUAUAUAGGACAAUUGUAGGGAAGACCAGAGAAAGUUGUUUAAAAAAGGAAUAUCGAGAAAAUAUAUAGGGUUGUCAAGCUUUGAAUAUUAAAUAAGGAGAUCUCUAAACGACUUCUAAGUUGUGUGCUGGAUUGAAUCAAUUAAUCUCAUUAAAUUAUUAUAACUCUGUUUCAACUAUUUUUAUAAUAUAAAAUAUAACAUAAUCCUAUAAUA
rnacentral:lncRNA from 1 species